AAUGAACGCUGGCGGCAGGCCUAACACAUGCAAGUCGAGCGGAUGAAGGGAGCUUGCUCCUGGAUUCAGCGGCGGACGGGUGAGUAAUGCCUAGGAAUCUGCCUGGUAGUGGGGGAUAACGUCCGGAAACGGGCGCUAAUACCGCAUACGUCCUGAGGGAGAAAGUGGGGGAUCUUCGGACCUCACGCUAUCAGAUGAGCCUAGGUCGGAUUAGCUAGUUGGUGGGGUAAAGGCCUACCAAGGCGACGAUCCGUAACUGGUCUGAGAGGAUGAUCAGUCACACUGGAACUGAGACACGGUCCAGACUCCUACGGGAGGCAGCAGUGGGGAAUAUUGGACAAUGGGCGAAAGCCUGAUCCAGCCAUGCCGCGUGUGUGAAGAAGGUCUUCGGAUUGUAAAGCACUUUAAGUUGGGAGGAAGGACAGUAAGUUAAUACCUUGCUGUUUUGACGUUACCAACAGAAUAAGCACCGGCUAACUUCGUG
rnacentral:rRNA from 1 species